rnacentral:rRNA from 1 species
CCCUUAGACGUUCUGGGCCGCACGCGCGCUACACUGACCAGUGCAACAAGCAUCCGUCCUUGGCCGACAGGCUCGGGCAAUCUUUGAACGCUGGUCGUGAUGGGGAUAGACUUUUGCAAUUUUUGGUCUUCAACGAGGAAUUCCUAGUAAACGCAAGUCAUCAACUUGCAUUGAUUACGUCCCUGCCCUUUGUACACACCGCCCGUCGCACCUACCGAUUGAAUGGUCCGGUGAAGCCUCCGGAUUGGCGCGCACCUCGGUGCCGCCGAGAAGUUGGCUAAACCUUACCAUUUAGAGGAAGCUGAAGUCGUAACA